rnacentral:RNase_P_RNA from 2 species
CGGAGAGGUCGAGGUGACCGCUGGUGGCGUCGACGUGACGUCACGAGAGGAAAGUCCGAGCUUCACAGGGCAGGGUGCUGGUUAACGGCCAGUCGAGGUAACUCGCAGGACAGUGCAACAGAAAGCAAACCGCCUGCCGCAAGGUAGGUAAGGGUGAAAUGGUGCGGUAAGAGCGCACCGCCUCUUUGGUGACAGAGAGGGCAUGGCAAACCCCACCCGAAGCAAGACCAGACAGGGGUCGCGUGGCCCGCGCGAUGACUCCGGGUUGGUCGCUCGAGCCCGCCGGCAACGACGGGCCUAGAUGAAUGGUCGCCAAGACACAGAACUCGGCUUAACGACCUCUCCGCCGU